ACGGGUGAGGAAUGCAUCGGAAUCUACCCUGUCGUGGGGGAUAACGUAGGGAAACUUACGCUAAUACCGCAUACGACCGAGAGGUGAAAGUGGGGGACCGCAAGGCCUCACGCGAUUGGAUGAGCCGAUGCCGGAUUAGCUAGUUGGUGGGGUAAAGGCCUACCAAGGCGACGAUCCGUAGCUGGUCUGAGAGGAUGAUCAGCCACACUGGGACUGAGACACGGCCCAGACUCCUACGGGAGGCAGCAGUGGGGAAUAUUGGACAAUGGGCGCAAGCCUGAUCCAGCCAUGCCGCGUGUGUGAAGAAGGCCUUCGGGUUGUAAAGCACUUUUGUUCGGGAAGAAAUCGUGCGGGCUAAUACCCAGUACGGAUGACGGUACCGAAAGAAUAAGCACCGGCUAACUUCGUGCCAGCAGCCGCGGUAAUACGAAGGGUGCAAGCGUUACUCGGAAUCACUGGGCGUAAAGCGUGCGUAGGCGGUUGAUUAAGUCUGCUGUGAAAGCCCUGGGCUCAACCUGGGAACUGCAGUGGAUACUGGUCAGCUAGAGUGUGAUAGAGGAUGGUGGAAUUCCCGGUGUAGCGGUGAAAU
rnacentral:rRNA from 1 species